CUUCUCUCUGGAGUUUCAUAUAAUUUCUCUGCUCUUCUACUUUAUCCAUUAAUUUCUGAACUAUUUCUUUGUUCUUUCCAAUUUCAUCCUUUUCUAGAUCAAUAUCUUGUAUUUUCUGGACAAGUGCUGAUCUCUCUAGUUUGAUUGCUUCUCUCAUGUCUUCCAUUUGCUUUCUUUCUGUCAUGAUGUCAGACCUCAUCUUUUGCAGGUCUUUUCUUUCCUGUUUAAUCAUCAUCUUAUCUUCGUCCAUUUCAGUUUUCUCUCGUUCCAGUUCCCUUAUUAUCUGAUCGAGUUGUUCUCUCUCUAUCUUUGCUUUUACUCUCAUUUCUUCUUCUUUCUCUUUUUCUUUCAUAAUAUGUUCUUGCAGUGUGUUCAACUCUUGAAAUUGUUGGCUUAUGUCAUGUUGUUCCUGCUCAGCUUUAGUCUUCAGCUCCAGGAUCUUGACUUUGGUCUGUUCUAGACCUUUUCUUUCUUCUUCCAUCUCAUUCUGUUUCAUGAAAUCUUGUUCCUUCUGUUGCCUGGCUUGAGUA
ensembl:lncRNA